UUGCUUUCACAGCACACGUACUAAAAUUGGAACGACACAGAGAAGAUUAGUAUGGCCCCUGAGCGAGGAUGACACGCAAAUUCGUGAAACAUUCCAUAUUUUU